AAUAUUAUGUUUUGGUCUCUUAGAAAUGCACAUUUGACAUUGAGUUGACAGUAGUAGUUUGAGUUAGUAUGCAGAUGUAAAUUUAUGUUCAUUAUCAAAAUCAGUAACAUCUGUUAAAAAUCGCAACAACCUCCUUUUUUACAUGGUGAUUUUUUUUUCUGACUGUUUGAGUUUUAUUAAAAUUAACCAUUGUUCUUCCAUAGUAGCAUACAUUUACAUAAUGAUAACCAGAGUUAAAACCACACAUAUAGCACCUCAAUACUGUGGUAAAAAUCCAACUAUAUGGUCUCUAGGUUGCCUAUUAAUAUGUAAAACAGUAGUCUAAAUACAUUUAUUAUAAUGCACAAACGCUAGCCUACAGCUUAAUCACAAAUAUACUGUAAUUCCAUUCAAUUACUCCUUUAAUACACGUCUACAUUAAUAUAAUACAUUUGAUAUAAACACCACACAUUUCUGCCACAAUACCAUGGUGCAGUUAAUGUUACUACAGUAAAUCCCUGGUAAACGAUGGCGAUUUGUAGAGUGAAAAGCCUUCUGACUGUAUCGUUGCACACAGUGUUUUUCUGCUGUUUGUCAGCGCUGUUUUAUCUGGGUUUAAACUUGUUUAUAUCAGUUGACUGAUAUCGACUGAUACUAGUUUAUGCCAGUCAUUUGUGUUCUUCGCUAAAUUCAAGCGCUUCUCACUGGAUCUCACAGCGCUGUUUAGUGGUUGCGUGUUCUGCUCUAGUCAGCGCGCUCUGCGCUGCGCCGCAGUUUGAACCGAGCGGAUAUGGUCCGUGUGGCGCGGUUCAAAUGAGUAGCGCUGUUUUGUUCCGCUUUUCCCGCAUGAAUCGUUAUCGUUUUAUCGCCCAGCCCUGCCUCAAAGUAUAUCUGCUCCCGCGCCCCCCAGGUUGGGAACCUCUGAUUUAGAACAAUGUAUAUAGACAUUAAGCAUGCAUGUACAUUGCCUCAUUUCGUAAAGAUUUCUUUGGUUCAGAGUUUCAGCAAAUUAGUAUUUAUUAUAAUUUUUUUUUAAUCAUGAAACUUAUUAUUAUUUAUUUAUUUAUUUUUUGGUUUCGUAAGGGUAUUCAGUUACUGUAUUAUUCUUUUGAGAUGAAAAAAAGUUACAUUAGAUUCUUCAUAUCAGUAUAUUGACUUAGAAAUGGUUUAAAGCAUCUGGUUUUAUGAAUAACCUAAAAGGUCCCUUACAAAAAAUAACUGCAGUUUAUUGAAGUACAACUGCAGUACAAAGCAGUAUAACUGCAGUACAAUGAAGUACAACUGGACAAUUGCAGUAUAAUGAAGUAUAUAACUGCAGUUCAUUAAAGUUCAAGAGCAGUAAAACUUAAGUACUAUGAAGUGCAACUGUAGAUUUGCAGUAUAAUGAAGUACAGAUACAAUAUAACUGCAUUUCAGCGAUACGCUGAAAUGCAGGUGAAGAUAUCAGAUGCUAAAACGUCUAAAUCUGUCUGAUUAAAUUUAUUUAAUUGUAUUUUUUUUAUGAGCAUUUUUAAAAAUAAAGCUCCUAUGAUUAGGUUCAGUAAUUUCACUUUAAUGGCAAUGAGGUUCUUUUCAUUGCCAAUAAAGUCGUAUUGUAUAGGCCCUGUACUGCAGUUAUGCUGUAUUGUGCAACAUGUAGCAAGUGCUGUGGUUGGCAAGUGUUUUUUUUUUUUUGUAUUUUUUGUAAUGUAGACUUGUACAAAAAUAUUUGCCUAUGGAAUAUUUCACCCGCAUAGAUAUAUAAUAAACCGCACGUUUGAUCUUCCUUCGCGCCAAAGGUCGUUGUCCUGACAACGAGUCUCGCGAGCAGAGGAUUACUUGUAACAGUAAAUCAGCGUCUUUUCCGUAGUGUCUACUGCAGGAUGGAUAUAAAAGUAUAAAACACGUUUUGGUUUGACAACAUCGUUCAUAUGUGAACUAUCACAAUUAAAGCACAAAGACAUAACAACAUUACACCCCGAGACCUUUCACAAGUGCGACAAAAGAGAAGAAACGCUUUCCGGAAGAAGUUCAUCAGGCGAGGAGCGUUGACUUUGUCCAGUCAUCAAGUUUAGCGGAGAGCAUCAACUCCUAAUUGACAUGAGGAAAAAAUCAUUGAAAAGUGUUCAGUGUGUACCCUCUUUGCAACAGAGGAAGCAUUAGGAAAGAGGAGAAGAGAGAAAGUGAAAAGGCACUCAACAGAUGUUGGCGAGACUUUAUUUCUGGAAAUGCAUUAAAGGAAAUGCACUGGUAACAACUAAAAAGACGACCAAAAAUAUAAUUCAACAGAGGAUGAUGGCUGUGGUGAAACAAGCACUCAAAUAAUGGAACAAAGACCAGUGGGAGUGCUGGAGAAAUCAAGUGUAUAAGUCCUCUGUCGUCUCAGCCAUGGAAGAGAUCUUCAGACAUGAAGAGAUCGAGGAGUUAAAUGAAAUCAAAGAGCUAAAAGAAGAUCUACAAUAUUAGUGCCAUUUCAGUAUGAAAACAGAGAGAGAGCUGAGGCAGUGGAAAGAAAUGCAUGUUAUUGUUCAAGGGGUAGUUGAAUGGACUAUCAAUGCAGGAACAGAAAGCUCUGAGAUUUCAUUAUAAAGAUCUUCAAUUGUGUUCUGAAGAUGAAUGAAGGACUUGCGGGUUUGGAACGAUAUGAGGACUACAUCCAAAAUAGUGUUUCCACAUCUGAGAUGAAGGCAGUCAUAAGAACCAAGCAAAACGAUGAGGAUAAGCUCUUCAAAAAAUGAAACCCGUCAGAAUAAUGCGGGAAGAAAUGUGCAUGAUUGUGUGAUUUGUAAAUAAACACUAAAUACAUUUAGUGUAACUCUCAGCCUGUUAUUUUAAGUUUAAAGAAAAGUAAAAUCAUUUAUUGUUGCAUUGCUGUUUGAGACAUUCACUGUUAUUUUGUACCUUAAUUUAUUAUAUUGCAGUUGUGUAAAAUAAAACUUGUUAUUCUGAAUAUUCCGGUUGCA